rnacentral:tRNA from 1 species
GGUCGCUUAGCUCAGUUGGUUAGAGCGUGGUGCUAAUAAGUCAUGUGGUGUUCAAACAUCACUUGACAGUAUACGCCAAGGUCGCGAGUUCGACCCUCGUAGUGACCAU